UUUUUUUUGUAUUUUUUUU
rnacentral:sRNA from 1 species